UCGGAUAUGGUGUAACGGCGAACAUUAGCGCCUCUCAUGUGUUCCUCCCUUCGUGUUCGCGCUAGCUCGGGGUUCGAUUCCCCGUAUCCGAA